CGCUCCCCGCUGUACGUCCACUCUUAACUGCUCCUCCCCUUCCUUUCAGCCAGGUGGGUUUCUCUUCCAGCUCCAGGAGCAACAGCGCACCCCCCCACGGCUCAUGGUGAACCCCCAGCUGGUUGGCCAUCUGGGGACACUUCUGAGGCCAGCACUGCCCCUGCUGCAGAAAAGGACGUCGUUGGCUUUGCAAGAGCACAUGGCUCACCGUCCAACAACCCAGAUCUCGCCCACAACUUCAUCCAGAUGAGGCUGUGGAUGUUAGGUGAAGGUCACCCAGGUGUUUCUAGAGGCCCGGGCAGGGAGGGCACGUGGAGAUAAAGUACAGAGCUCCCCCUUGCAAAUUAAAAUUUUUUAAUUUAAAGGGAAAA